UACGUAGGGACCGAGCGUUGUCCGGAUUCAUUGGGCGUAAAGAGCUCGUAGGCGGCUGUUCAAGUCGAAUGUGAAAACUCGGAGCUCAACUCCGAGCCUGCGUUCGAUACUGGACGGCUAGAGUCUGGUAGGGGGAUCUGGAAUUCCUGGUGUAGCGGUGAAAUGCGCAGAUAUCAGGAGGAACACCGGUGGCGAAGGCGGGAUCCUGGGCCAGUACUGACGCUGAGGAGCGAAAGCGUGGGGAGCAAACAGG
rnacentral:rRNA from 1 species